rnacentral:lncRNA from 1 species
AUGCCUAACGAGCAAACGAGGAAAUGCAGUAGCGGAAAGGAAUGGACCACUAAUGGACAAUGGUCCCGCGAACGAGACCCGAAUACUGACUGCGCAGGCGAAAAGAACCCCG